GACGAACCGUACGAACGUUAUUCGGAAUUACUGGGCUUAAAGGGUGCGUAGGCGGCGCAGUAAGUUGGGUGUGAAAUCCCUCGGCUUAACCGAGGAAUUGCGCCCAAAACUACUGUGCUCGAGGGAGGUAGAGGUGAGCGGAACUUAGGGUGGAGCGGUGAAAUGCGUUGAUAUCCUAAGGAACACCGGUGGCGAAAGCGGCUCACUGGACCUCUUCUGACGCUGAGGCACGAAAUCUAGGGUAGCAAACGGG
rnacentral:rRNA from 1 species